UACGUAGGGUGCGAGCGUUAAUCGGAAUCACUGGGCUUACAGAGUUCGUAGGCGGUCUGGAAAGUUGGGUGUGAAAUCCCUCGGCUCAACCGAGGAACUGCGCUCAAAACUACCCGACUCGAGGGAGAUAGAGGAAAGCGGAACUGAUGGUGGAGCGGUGAAAUGCGUUGAUAUCAUCAGGAACACCGGUGGCGAAGGCGGCUUUCUGGGUCUUACCUGACGCUGAGGAACGAAAGCUAGGGGAGCGAACGGG
rnacentral:rRNA from 1 species